rnacentral:rRNA from 1 species
GAUGAACGCUGGCGGCGUGCUUAACACAUGCAAGUCGAACGGAAAGGCCGAAGCUUGCUUCGGUACUCGAGUGGCGAACGGGUGAGUAACACGUGGGUGAUCUGCCCUGUACUUCGGGAUAAGCUUGGGAAACUGGGUCUAAUACCGGAUAUGACGAUCUCUUGGAUGGGGUUGUGGAAAGCUUUUGCGGUAUGGGAUGAGCUCGCGGCCUAUCAGCUUGUUGGUGGGGUAAUGGCCUACCAAGGCGUCGACGGGUAGCCGGCCUGAGAGGGUGUACGGCCACAUUGGGACUGAGAUACGGCCCAGACUCCUACGGGGGGCAGUAGUGGGGAAUAUUGCACAAUGGGCGCAAGCCUGAUGCAGCGACGCCGCGUGGGGGAUGACGGCCUUCGGGUUGUAAACUCCUUUCGCAAUCGACGAAGCCUUUUGGUGACGGUAGGUUGAGAAGAAGCACCGGCUAACUACGUG